GGUUUUAAUGGAAUUCUCAGAAUGUUCAGAAGACUCCAAACUCCUCCCAGGUCCUGGACUCUGCUGUGUUUCAGGUCUCAGCAGGUGCUCUCACAACUAACCUACCUUUCCUUCCCUCUCACUAAACUGUUCACCAGGUCCAAAAUCAAGCACUCCUUCUCCCAUUCACUACUUACACCCUGCCAUCCUCCAUGACUCCAAAUGGCCUCCUUGCUAACUUUGACUGGCUCCUCCAGUUGACGUCACUGUUUUCCCAGCAUAUGGCUCAAUGGGAAAACCAUACCCUGCUUGGAUUCUUUCCCUUUCCUCCGCAUAGAUGGGGGGCUCCCCCUUGAGUCUACCUAGGCCCACGGCUACAGGAGCUACAGAAAAAUCCACGAGAGGCUAUCUCCCUCCAGCCCUUCAUCACUUAAGGAGAAUUGGCUAAUGGCAAUUAACACAGGGACAGCUUCCCCUGGCGUUCUCUGAGUUUGCUCCUGCUCUGCUCUUUCCCCUGGAGGGCCAGGGUGGUGCUCACCUGAGGCAGAAUUCAUCAGCGUCUGGGGCACCGCUGGGCUGGCAGGCGCAGGAACGUUCAGUUGCGAAAGCAUGGCCUUCCGGGGGUCCUGCCAUGUUGUUGUCUGAUCGUUGUGACUGAGACAAAGCAGAGUAAAAGUCAAACCGUCACCCCUAAGAAGCCUCAUACAGAGAAUGGCUGAAUCCUCAGCAGAAUCAGAGCUCACUCUGCCUUCCCACCCUGGACAAGUCACUGAAUUACCGGAAAUGACAGAGUCAGCAUAGCAUGAGCUGAGAACAAAAGCCAGAAUUCAAGAUUCAUGAGUCUCCAAAUAAAGUCUCCAAAGACCUUCCCUAACUGUCAUAGCCGCUCGGCUGCGGGCGCAGAUCCUGCCGGACCCGCGCGCAACGCCAAGGCCGCGAGGAAUCGGGACAACCGGCUUGGGGUCCAAAAGAUGGUAUUAGAUUCCAUGGAAUUGGAGUACAACUGGUUGUGAACAGCCACGUGGGUACAGGGAUUCGAACCUGAGCCUUCUUAGGAACCAGUACUUUUAGUGACCGGCCCUCUCCUCAGCCCCUUGUUGAAGUCAUGAGCUACAAAACAAGAACUGGUUUUAAUGAGGGUGAUGGCAUGCCUAAAUACACCAAGAAGGAAGAGGAGGAAGAGGAGGAAGAGGAGGAAGAGGAGGAGGAGAAGAAGGAGAAGGAGAAGGAGAAGGAGAAGGAGAAGAAGAAGAAGAAGAAGAAGAAGAAGAAGAAGAAGAAGAAGAAGAAGGCUGAUACCCCAGAUUGUGGGGCAAAUGAAAGGAUACCCACAAUUAGGUGGAUUGGUGCCCCCACAUCAAUGAUGUUUAACCAUAUAUCCUGGUAUCUGUAGGUAGCUACUUCUCACACCCUUCUUUAUUUAUUACACACUUAUUCUUUACUUUUUUUCCCCUCUAAAAGUGGCUUCAUGAGCAUCUGCACUGAGACCCAAGGCUGCCCUUUGUCAGUCUCCCUUGAACCUGCAGAACCUCCUGCAGCCAGGGUUUGCCAUGCCACAGCUGGUGCUGGGAAAGCUAGCCUAGAGGUGCUAGGUUUAUGCUCCUCACCUUUGCUCGUUCCCCUGCCAGCUGAGCAUUUUACUCCCAAUCCCCCUAGAGCUCCAGCAGCACACCUUCCCACCCACAUCCCUCUGGCUCACCAUGUUAAGGCUAGCACAAUUCAUCCAUUUGUUCAAGCAGAGAACUUA
rnacentral:lncRNA from 1 species